rnacentral:lncRNA from 12 species
CCAGAGGGAGGGGAACUGCCUGGUGCCUGGGGGUCUCAGCUCUCUCUCUCUCACUUCCAGAACAACAGGCCCACAGGGGAGAAAUUUCUAUCACACUUAUCCUCCUUGGACUUCGGGAAGUAAAAACCCAGCCCCCCUCCCGCUGGUGUGUGGACACACUUGAGCCCGGAGGAGUGUUAAAAUUCAGCCGGAGAGGCACCCAGCACUACAGAAGCCUAGAUAAAGGGAAAGGAUUUCAGGCAAGAGGAAAAAAUAAAAUAAAGAGGCAAGACUUAAAAUGUCCUGUGAAAUGGAGAGCAUUUGGCCCUCGGCACACAUGUCUGCGGGAGAUGACUCAACUCCUUUAUAAAGUGAGGAACCAAAUUGUGAAGACAUCUGUUCUGUUAUUAAUUUCACAUAAAUCUUAAGCUCCUCAAGGCCAGAAAUGAGGCUUCAUUCACGUCGAAUUAAUGAAACAUGAUUGUAAGUCCCUUGCAUGGAAAUGCUGUCACACAAUUCUGAGCCGCUUAUAAGCACCCAGUAAGCUCAGAAACUGCCAGGGGACAGCCAUGUGAAAUCCGCCCUCCCCUCCCCCUGCCACCCGAAAACAAUAUCUGAAAAUAUCACAACACUAACUAUAUCCUGAAAGAUUAAUAGCAGAUGAGCAUUUCUGGGAAAUGAAUCAGACUUUCUCCGUAAAGGAUACCGGGUAAAAGCAGAUUGCACAAUAUAAGAGCUCUUUGGAUACAGUUUAAUAACUCUGCAGCCCUACGUGCACCUGACAGGAGUGGGGGGGUCCUGGGGUGUCUGGCAGAGAUGUCUUUUGGGAGGAUGUUGAAGGCAUAGGAUUGAAACAGGAAACCUGGACUGGCCAAAGCAUGAUACACAUGUGUCACGCGUGUGAGAGAAUGUGUGUGUGCACGCUUAUGGGUGAAUGAGUGUGUGUGUGAGUGGCUUAUGGGUGAAUGAGUGUGUGUGUGAGUGGAUGAUGCACGUGUGUAUGUAUGGAUAUGAGUGUGAGUUUGUGUGCAUGUGUGAAGAUGUGUUUGUCAUGGAUGUGUAUGAGAAUGUGUGCACGGGGCACCUGGGUGGCU